GCUCAACCGUAAACAAUUAACUCACACCAACCAACGCCAGGGGAUUACAAGCCAUGCUUAAAACCCAAAGGAUUUGACGGUGUCCUAUCCCACUAGAGGAGCCUGUUCUAUAAUCGAUAAUCCCCGCUAUACCUCACCACUUCUAGCCAUUCAGUCUGUAUACCUCCGUCGAAAGCCUACCAUAUGAAUGCCCUUAGUAGGCACAACGAUGCCCAUCAACACGUCAGGUCAAGGUGCAGCUCACGCAGUGGAAAGCAAUGGGCUACAAUUUCUAAAUUAGAACAAACGAAAAACUAUUUGAAACAAUAGUUUGAAGGUGGAUUUAUUAGUAAAAAGAAAAUAGAGAGUUCUUUUUAACUCGGCUCUGGGACGUGUACAAACCGCCCGUCACCCUCUUCAAAUUACCCAUUUUUAGUUUAUAACCACACUCAUUACCCUUAGAAGAGGUAAGUCGUAACAUGGUAAGUGUACUGGAAAGUGCACUUGGCUUAUUU
rnacentral:rRNA from 1 species